rnacentral:rRNA from 1 species
GUUAGGAAUAUUGGACAAUGGGCGCAAGCCUGAUCCAGCCAUGCCGCGUGAGUGAUGAAGGCCUUCGGGUUGUAAAGCUCUUUAGUCCACGAAUAUAAUGACUGUAGUGGAAGAAUAAGCCCCGGCUAACUUCGUGCCAGCAGCCGCGGUAAUACGAAGGGGGCGAGCGUUAUUCGGAAUCACUGGGCGUAACGCGUGCGUAGGCUGUUUUGUAAGUCAGAAGUGAAAGCCCAGGGCUUAACCCUGGAAUUGCUUUUGAAACUACAAGACUCGAAUUCGGGAGAGGAUAGCGGAAUUGUCAGUGUAGCAGUGAAAUGCGUAGAUAUUGACAGGAACACCAGUGGCGCAAGCGGCUAUCUGGACCGAUAUUGACGCUGAGGCACGAAAGCGUGGGGAGCAAACAGGAUUAGAAACCCUAGUAGUCC